AUUGAACGCUGGCGGCAUGCCUAACACUUGCAAGUCGAACGGGGGUAGCAAUACCCUAGUGGCGGACGGGUGAGGAAUACGUAGGAAUUUGCCCUUAAGUGGGGGAUAACCCGGGGAAACCCGGACUAAUACUGCAUGAUCUCGUGAGAGCAAAGCAGGGGACCGCAAGGCCUUGCGCUUUUGGAGAAGCCUACGUCGGAUUAGCUAGUUGGUGGGGUAAUGGCCCACCAAGGCUACGAUCCGUAACUGGUCUGAGAGGAUGAUCAGUCACACCGGAACUGAGACACGGUCCGGACUCCUACGGGAGGCAGCAGUGGGGAAUAUUGGACAAUGGGCGAAAGCCUGAUCCAGCAAUGCCGCGUGUGUGAAGAAGGCCUUCGGGUUGUAAAGCACUUUAGGCUGGAAAGAAAAAGCUUUGGCUAAUAUCCAAAGCCUUGACGGUACCAGCAGAAUAAGCACCGGCUAACUCUGUGCCAGCAGCCGCCGUAAGAC
rnacentral:rRNA from 1 species